UUUCAGGUUGAGUCAGACCACACUUGAGUCAGACCCGCCCAGAAAGUUAGAAACUGCGUCAGAAAAGGGGAAACAGAAAGUGUUUUCUGGACUUUAAACAUCGAUUAUCGUCUCGCCUGAAGUUACAGACGCUUCACCUGCAGCUGUAUCUGUAGGUGGUACCGGCCCCGCGGACCCCCCCGGGACAUCCUGGACGCCCUGGAACCUUCUGGACACGCGAUGACAGGCGGCUGGUUCCGAGGACUUCGGUCCAGAUUCAGAAGAUUCAAAAUGGGGGAUCAGAACUCUCAAGGAACUCCAACUGAGCAGCAUGCACCCUUGCCCAUAGCAGUUCCUGUAAUCUUCAUCGAAGAACCAGGACCUCCAGGAACUGACCUUCCAGACAGUGACUCUGACUGGGACGUCCGUUCUACAGACAGUGACUAUAACUAUCCUACAGACUGCAGCAAAGAAAAACAGCUUAUGGAAAGAAGAGUCAUGAUGGUGGAGUGUAGAUAUCGUCCACAGCCCUCUGUAGCGGGUAACCGGUCCAAAGAUUAUCCUCCAAACUUCCAAAACCAAAACCACCAGUAAGAAGGUAAGCAGCAGCCUGGUUCCAGCAGAAGGGGAUGUCUGGAGUCACCUUGAAGUUAACAUAUAAACUGACUUCUCAUGUUCUUCUAAUCAGAAGCUAAUAAUUCCCCCUUCCCAUGGGCAGCCUUAACCCCCCCCCCCUUACGCUGCUCGUGCUCGUGUAACCAGGGCAUUCCCAAUGAAUAAAAAGAGGAGACGAGGCAGAGACGGACAGAGAUGGUUGGAGUGUUGGGACUGCACGUUCUCUGACUUCUCUCCUCACGGGUUUUUAACCUGA